rnacentral:lncRNA from 1 species
AUGGUUUGUGCCGAGCUUCUUGGGAACAGAGAAGAGGCGGAAACCAGGAGGCCCGGCGGCUGGCCCAGAACGUCCGGGACCGCUCGGCUGGAAGGGAUUUCCUGGACGGUGGACAGGCCGCAGGGGUUCCGUAAUGCCUCCCGUUUCUGGUACAGAAGGCAGAGUGCGGGCCCUGGGCCUCCUGCUUACUCGUCCUGUGACCUGAGGCUGCCUCGCUGGGCCAGUUUCCUCCUGAAAUUCCUUGUGACCUCCAGCUAUCCUGGCCAGCGGGGAGAAGCAGGAGUCUCUUGUUGGACCCCUGACUCUCCCACAGCCUCUCUUCAUAGCCUGGGAUCGAUCACCACCCAUCCUGGACUCAGUUUCUUGAUCUGUGAGAUGGGACUGAAUGAAGCGUCCUUAUGAGGUGAGCUGCAAACUCACGUAAUAUGAAGGUAGCACACACUGUUCCAUAGAUUUUAUUUUUAUCUUCGACCGAGCAGAACAACUCGCGGAGUCUUAGUAGCGGCUUGGAGGAUCUUAGUAUUAGUUCUCAACCAGGGAUGGAACCUGUGCCCUUGGCAGUGAAAGCCAGGAGUCCUAAGCACUGGACUGCCAGGGUGUUACCUUCAUCACUUCUUUCUAGUAACUCAUGGUGCCUGCCGAGGCAGGUGAAAAUAAACGUUACUUAGUUUGAGUCCUUUUUAAAUUGCAGUGGUAGGGCUGGAACCCAACCAAGGUGGAAACCUUUCCUUUGUGCGUGUGGAUUGUAGGCUGGAGUGCUGCCCUAGGAGUAGGUUCCCCAGUCGGGUCAGGGCUGGGUGAUGCCACUUGCGGCUGGGCCACCUCAAGAAGGGCCUCAGAUCCCAGGUGGAGGAACCUGGGGACUUGGUCCUGAGGGUCACAGGGGCUGUGAGAAGGUCUCAUGCAUGUGAGGCAGCUGUGAGAUGAGUAUCACGCCAGGGUGGGAGAAGUUCUGGGGGCCAGGGUACCAGGGAGAAGGCUGGUGCAAGGGUCCAGGUGGGAGGAAGGAGCCAGAGCGGGGGGUGGAGGGGAGCAUACAGCCGUCAGGAUGAGGGAGGGAGCACUCUGUUCCUGCCCAGCUUUGGGGAGUGAGAU